rnacentral:rRNA from 1 species
UAGGGAAUCUUGCGCAAUGGGCGAAAGCCUGACGCAGCGACGCCGCGUGAGCGAUGAAGGCCUUCGGGUCGUAAAGCUCUGUGGGGAGGGACGAAUAAGGUUUGGCUAACAUCCAAAUCGAUGACGGUACCUCCUUAGCAAGCACCGGCUAACUCUGUGCCAGCAGCCGCGGUAAGACAGAGGGUGCAAACGUUGUUCGGAAUUACUGGGCGUAAAGCGCGUGUAGGCGGCAUCGUAAGUCGGGCGUGAAAUCCCACGGCUCAACCGUGGAAGUGCACUCGAAACUGCGAAGCUUGAGUCCUGGAGAGGAAGGUGGAAUGCUUGGUGUAGAGGUGAAAUUCGUAGAUAUCAAGCGGAACACCGGUGGCGAAGGCGACCUUCUGGACAGUGACUGACGCUGAGACGCGAAAGCGUGGGGAGCAAACA